ACAUUUCUUUUAGAUUUUCUUAAAAGUAAAGUCUGCCCACUGUGUAUAUAAAGGGCCGCGGUAUUUUGACCGUGCAAAGGUAGCAUAAUCAUUAGUCCUUUAAUUGGGGAAUGGUAUGAAUGGCUAAAUGAUUUUUUUCUUUAAUUUUCGUAAAAAUAAAAUUUUGAUUUUAAGUGAAAAUACUUAAAUUUAUUAAUUAGACGAUAAGACCCUAUAGAAUUUUAUUCUUAUGAUUUUACAAAUAAAAAAAAAUAAGAGUUUAAAUGGGGCAUUUUUUGAAUAAAAAUAAUUUCUUUUAAAAUAUUUUAAAACUAUCUUAGAUAAAAGACUAUAAAAAAAUUACCUUAGGGAUAACAGCGUUAUUAUUUUUGAGAGUUCGUAUCGACAAAAUAGAUUGCGACCUCGAUGUUGAAUUAAAAUUCCUUUAUGGAGCAGAAUUUAUAAAAGGUAGUCUGUUCGACUAUAAAAUUUUUACAUGAUUUGAGU
rnacentral:rRNA from 1 species